UACGUAGGGGGCUAGCGUUGUCCGGAAUCAUUGGGCGUAAAGAGCGUGUAGGCGGCCCGGUAAGUCCGCUGUGAAAGUCGGGGGCUCAACCCUCGAAUGCCGGUGGAUACUGUCGGGCUAGAGUGCGGAAGAGGCGAGUGGAAUUCCUGGUGUAGCGGUGAAAUGCGCAGAUAUCAGGAGGAACACCGAUUGCGAAGGCAGCUCGCUGGGACGUCACUGACGCUGAGACGCGAAAGCCAGGGGAGCGAACGGG
rnacentral:rRNA from 1 species